rnacentral:tRNA from 6 species
CUUAGCUCAGUUGGAUAGAGCAACGACCUUCUAAGUCGUGGGCCGCAGGUUCGAAUCCUGCAGG